CUUGGCGGCCAUAGCGCAACGGUCCCACCUGAUCCCAUGCCGAACUCAGAAGUGAAACGUUGUAGCGCCGAUGGUAGUGUGGGGUCUCCCCAUGUG
rnacentral:rRNA from 1 species